CUGCCCUUUCUCCUGCUUUACAGCAAAAACAUUGUACUCAAAUGUAUGCAUUCCUCCCACUCUAGCUCUGUUGAGCACAGCGGCUAUGGUGUAACCGAAGGAUGUUUCUGUCCUGAAGGACAGACUUUAAUCAGUGAAGACAGCAACAUCUGUGUCUCUGACUGUUCUUGUAGGGAACCAAAUGGAAUAUCCAGAAGGGUGAGUAUGACAAUCAGUGUGGUAUAUCAAGUACAGACAGGGGAAGCAAGAGGACAUUUGGUGCUUCACAAGAACAAAAUUUUGCUUAGGUUGAG
rnacentral:lncRNA from 1 species